AUUGAACGCUGGCGGCAUGCCUUACACAUGCAAGUCGAACGGCAGCACGGGAGCAAUCCUGGUGGCGAGUGGCGAACGGGUGAGUAAUAUAUCGGAACGUGCCCAGUCGUGGGGAUAACGUAGCGAAAGCUACGCUAAUACCGCAUACGAUCUAUGGAUGAAAGCGGGGGGAUCGCAAGACCUCGCGCGAUUGGAGCGGCCGAUAUCAGAUUAGGUAGUUGGUGAGGUAAAGGCUCACCAAGCCGACGAUCUGUAGCUGGUCUGAGAGGACGACCAGCCACACUGGGACUGAGCACGGCCCAGACUCCUACGGGAGGCAGCAGUGGGGAAUUUUGGACAAUGGGCGCAAGCCUGAUCCAGCAAUGCCGCGUGCAGGAUGAAGGCCUCGGUGUAACU
rnacentral:rRNA from 1 species